rnacentral:rRNA from 1 species
AUUGAACGCUGGCGGCAUGCCUUACACAUGCAAGUCGAACGGUAACAGGUCUUCGGAUGCUGACGAGUGGCGUACGGGUGAGUAAUACAUCGGAACGUGCCUAGUAGUGGGGGAUAACUACUCGAAAGAGUGGCUAAUACCGCAUGAGAUCUACGGAUGAAAGCAGGGGAUCGCAAGACCUUGUGCUACUAGAGCGGCCGAUGGCAGAUUAGGUAGUUGGUGGGAUAAAAGCUUACCAAGCCGACGAUCUGUAGCUGGGCGGAGAGGACGAUCGGCCACACUGGGAGUGAGACACGGCCCAGACUCCUACGGGAGGCAGCAGUGGGGAAUUUUGGACAAUGGGCGAAAGCCUGAUUCAGCAAUGCCGCGUGCAGGAUGAAGGCCUUCGGGUUGUAAACUGCUUUUGUACGGAACGAAAAGCCCCGGGUUAAUACCCUGGGGUCAUGACGGUACCGUAAGAAUAAGCACCGGCUAACUACGUGCCAGCCGCCGCCGUAA